UACAGAGGUCCCGAGCGUUGUUCGGAUUCACUGGGCGUAAAGGGUGCGUAGGUGGCAGGGUAAGUCGGAUGUGAAAGCUCGGAGCUCAACUCCGAAAUGGCAUUGGAAACUACCCAGCUCGAGGGUUGGAGGGGGGACUGGAAUGCUUGGUGUAGCAGUGAAAUGCGUAGAUAUCGAGAGGAACACCUGCGGCGAAGGCGGGUUGCUGGGCUGACACUGACGCUGAUGCGCGAAAGCCAGGGGAGCGAACGGG
rnacentral:rRNA from 1 species